rnacentral:lncRNA from 1 species
UGUAUCGAAAAGCACUACAAACAACUACAAACAAUUCCAAAUAUGAAACCUGAUGUCUAUACAGUACCUAACGUUAAAAAGUUCCUAUUCUGUCCCCUUCUGAAGCUUCUCAAUGUGAGAGCAGUUAUACCAUACAGAAACAGUAUGUAAGUGGGUCGAAUCUUAUUUGGAAAAUCGUAUGCAGGUAACAAAGUAUGGAAAUAAAACAUCAAAAAAGAUUGCUACAACUCAUGGACUACAACCCAAGGAUCGGUACUAGCCCCCCCCCCCCUGUUCAUACUAUAUAUAAACAACAUAAAAAACCAACUAAAAGACUGCGAAUGCAAAAUGUUUGCAAAUGAUACAGUCAUUUUCAUAGGGAACAGAGACAUAAAAGAAGUGGAAAGGAAACUAAAUAAAGACCUGAAAAACGUAGUAGAAUGGCUAGGAAAAAAUGCACUUAGACUAAACACAUCAAAAACAAAAUUCAUGAUAUUACAUGACGUACAAAAAUUAAACAUGAUAAAUGAUAUUAAAAUGACGGUGUGAUAUUAGGAUUAAAAAUCAUUUAACUAUUUUAACUCAUCAAAAUAUUUUAUAUUAAACCAUCUUGUAUCUACUUUCAAUAGACAACUACAAAUUUUAUUAUAUUCAAAUAUUCACAUUAUUAAAAGCGGGGGAAAAGAUUAUAAGAAUGAAAAGGCAAAAAAUGAAAUAAAUAUCAACUCAAAAGAUCGACCUACCAAAGCGAUCCAAAGUUGUGACGCGAAGCGAAGCGAAGCACUCUACUCUCGAUCUAAAAAAAAUUAUUAUCGUACUAGACACCGACGCGCGACGCAGUCAAGGCUAUAAUCGUUAUAUCAAGUGUUCGCGCGCCCGAUGUAUCUCGCCCCCAAUCGGCGCGCGAUCACGACACACUGGAUAAACGUGUAAUUUAUGCCUUGACCGUGUCUACGGUCUUCGACACGCGACACGAUUUUUCAUGCCACAUCGACGUACGAGGCGUCUCACUAAGUAUCCUCCAUUGGCUUACGCGAUUGAUGCGUGACCGUAAUUAUCAGAGUUAAUCGGGUGACGUACCAAGAUGCCUCGCGUACGUCGGUAUAGCAUGAAAAAUCGUAUCGUGUGCCGAAAACUUACGAAAAGACACCUCUGUCUUUAUAUUUGUAUUAAACGCGAGUCAACGAAGCGCUCGCGAGAGCCCGAGAGACGCCGCCUAAUGCGCGCGAGAGAAUGUCACACGUUCAUAGUGUGCGCGAUAUACUUACUCCAAAACGCGAAAGACAAAAUUCACAAAAACGGCGGAGGAACGUUGGCAAUCUCGAAAAUCCGUAGGAUUUUUUCGAUGUCGAUUUGUGACGUCGAAUUCAUUAUCAUUUCUCACUGGGAUAAUGGUUAAAAUCCGCGAUGUUUCAAAUCUCUACGCGUUGACGUGGGCGCGCGCGAGGUUAAUUUUUAGUUUUAUUACAUCGCGGAGAGGAAUACGACUGCGUCUAAUUUGAAGAAUUUAAUACAACACUAUACGUUGCAUAAUCAGAUAAAUUAGACAAAAUUUUCAUUUUUUGUACGAAAUAAAUAUUCCGAGGUGAAAUUAAUAUACUUUCGCAUCGUACGAAAUUUAAAAAAAAAAGCUGUCUCUUUUGGCACUAAGUAUCACGUCUUGUUCUUGUAUUUUUCAUAUUGAAUGUAAAAUAAAAAUAACAAUAAGUAGUGUUCCGUCGAACAAAGAAAUACUUAAGGAAUUCGGGAGAGAUCUCGAUUCUUCAGAUAUAGCGUCUCUGUAGAUAUGUCGACCCUUUCCACAUAAAAAAGUUCAGAGCGGGGGUAACGGACGGAGCGGGGGAAUAAGGCAAAACGAGCCUAAUAUUCAAUCUUUUGUUAACCUUACUUGUGUGUAACGCUUUGAAGAGUGAAGUAGUCGAGCCAGUGCGUAAUUUAUAUUACAAUCGAGUCAGUGCGAUACCGAAUCGCAUAAGUGUAGAGCAGCUCGCAACAACGAUUGAGACCGCACUUACAGCCGCGCAAACGUACGCGCCCGAUAUUAUUCGAACGAUUAAUCGUAAGCAGGGCCCCGGCAAUCAAAGUAUCUCCCUACGAGAGAUACAUGCGUUAAACGUAACGCGAAUCUACCAGCGUCUCCCUAUCGAGAGCAAGACGACUUGCGUUAAUCGGGACGUAGGUAGCUAUAUACGAAACAAUUCAUAAAUUUAUCCGACUAAACAUUCGUAGCAUUCUUCAUUGUAAUUUAUAAUUUAUCGUAAGAAGUUUUUAUGCCUCCGGGCUUUUCCCCUCUGAGCCAAUAAAGGUCAUUCCCUUGUGCUCAAAUCGUGACAUAAUUAUUUUCCUCACUCACCAAACCAUAACCACGGAAGCUUCUCCAUGUUGGAGCCGUUUCCGACCAUACAAGUAGUAAUUUGAGUAGUAUUUUCUUCGUGCUGCGUACAUAGACUGUUCCGAUGCGAAGUCGUGCACGCACAAAAACGCUACCAAAGUCGUGACGCAGGUCUACGGACCCUACGCGUAUGUCGCGCAACGGUUCGAGUGGUACCCCCGAUCCGUCCUUAAAUCCAUACGUAAAAAACGAGGCGACAAGCGUCCUAAAACAACACGUCAUAAAUCUUCUUCGACGCGCCAGUUUGGCGCCGAGAUCAUCUCGGCGACGUGCGAAGGUACACGCAAAAACGUGUACGCAGAAACGUAUGCCAUAUCCCCCCACGAAGACCGAUCGUGGGUUCAAUGAUGCUGAUUGGAUCGUCUAAAGACUGCCCUCCUGUCGAAGGACGUCGAUUCGAUAAUCGUUGUCGAAUCAUAGACAAUCAGUCAGUUAUGCAAGCGGAAGGGAUCACUGUCGCCGAGGGGGACUCGGCGAAGGACCACUCACUCUGAAUUCGUAAGUCAGUGAAUGCGGAUGAUUAAAUGCGAGUCGUUUGACGCGAAUCGAGAACAUUCGAUAGCAUAGAGAAAUCGCGAGACAGGACAUCACAGUCCACGCGUUGGUGCGAACACCGUUGUACAUACAGUUACGCGUUUACGUUUGUGAGACAAUAAACGAUUACAUUUAUAGUGACCAUUCUGUGUGAUCAUUCCACGAACCUAUCGACAUAAACUCUAGUAUGCGAAGACGCGGUGUGCGUUGAAGCGAGUAACGCCACCAGAAGCCUACGGAACAUAGACAUUAUUAGUGAAAGAAAAAUCUGACAAAUGUAUUUAGACGGUACUCAAAAAAGAAAAAUGUGAUGCGUCUAUUUAUGAACAAUACUCUAAAAGAAAAAAAAUGUAAUGCGUCUAUUCAGAUGAAAGCAAUAAAAUAAAAAAGUGUCUAUAAUCUGACGGAAUUAUUAAAAUAAAAAUUUGAAACAUCUAAUUAAACGAAACUAGUAAAAUAAAAACAAGACACAUCCAAUUAGACAAAACUCAUAAAAUAAUAACGUUUAUAGAAAUAUAAAUCAAAGUAAAGAUAAACAAAUGUAGAAAUAAAAAUAAAGUAACAAAAUAAAAGUUAAAAAUUUCGUAAUACAGAAUCGCUUUUAUUUUCAGAAAUUAUAUUUUAAAAUAAUUAUUCACUAUUACUUAUCAAAAAUUCAAUAAUAGAAGUGUAUUAAUAUUUUUUUUGCAGGCGGCAGUUGUUAAAGAGAUUGAGACAGGAAACUAUAGACAAAAAAAAUGACAACGAACAAAUUAUCGAAACUUAGUAGAUUCUCCCAACGUCAUAGAUUCAAAGAAUAAUACUCAGCGAUCAAGAGGGACGAGUAUCAAUCGCAAGAGCAGAAGCAGGUUGCGGCUUGCCUUAGAGCUCUAAGCUCUGGGCUUUCGGAGCUCAUGAAGCCCGCUAUAUCCAUUCUCCUCCCUCAGGAAGGCCGAGACGCUUUAUCGCAGAUGGCCGAUGGGAUCCGUCUCCUGGCGGAUCACCAACACAACCUCUCAUUAGCCAGGCGCGCCUUCAUCAAGCCGGCCUUGAGCCUGAUGGGCAAAACCAUCGCUGAUACAGCGACAAUCGACGAUUGGCUGUUUGGUUCAUCGUUCACCGAGGAGUUAAAGGACGCUCAGGCCUGCGAGAAGGCCGCCAAAGAUUUGAAGAAAGCGAUCCCCGCGGCACCCAAGGCUACUGUCCAGCCGGCACGUCAAGCCUUGGGGAAGAACCAGCCCGUGAGACAGUCGGAAAACGGAAGAGGUAAAGUACAAAGUAAUUACAAAAGUGUACACAAUAGUGAAACCGACAAUUUUGUCAAAAAUCGACAAAAAACUUAAGCAAAACGCUAGUUGUGGAAGGAAAAGACAGUUUGGAUAUAGGUCGUAUUGUGCAGAACGUUCCUAAAGGUGGCUUUUUUGUCGACUCGUCCUUUGUAAUUACAGAAUUGUACAGAACAUACAUUAAUCAUAAACGAAGUAUAGAUUGCUCGUUUAAUGAUUAGGGGGUAGCUGUAAAAUACCGUGAGUGUGGGUUACUGAUGCAAUUGUUUAUCAAGUGCCGAAUGUACAAUUAUGAAACAAGCAUUUGGACAGAACCCACGAGACCUGAACAAUUAGAUGUGAAUACAGCUGCUGUAACAGCAACAAUUACAACUGGAAAUUAGUUUUUCGAUAUUGGAAGAAGUGUGCUCGGGGAUGAAUGUACGUUGCAUGUCCGAGGUGACCUAUAUAAAAAUACGUGAAAAACUAGUAGAACAAUAUGAAAAAAUUGCUCUAGAUAGUAUGAAAGAGGCAGGCAAGCAAAAAAAACAACUCGCUAUAGAAAACAAUAAAAUAAUAAUUAAUAUACCGUACAUAACUGUUAUAGCAGAUAGUUGUUGAUCAAAGAGAACGUAUGGCAAAGGUUACAAAGCACUUUCUGGUGUUAAUGCCAUUAUUGGUAAUCGCAUCAAAAAAGUUCUCUUCGUUGGUAUCCGUAACAAAUAUUGUGCGGUACGCGCUUUUCCGGAGAGAAAUAGUUGUGAAUAAAAAAUUCACGAGUGUUAUAAAAAUUUUGAACAUAAUGUAAGCUCCACAAAGAUAAAAAGCGACGCCAUUACAAAAUUCAAAAAUAGCAUCAAAAUGCAUAAAUUAAUAUACAAAACACUUAUUGCCGAUGGCGAUAGUAAUGUUUAUUAAUCUAUAAAGAAUAAUAAUCCAUAUCGCAAACGUAAAGUAAUGGUGAAAAAAAUAGAAUGCAAUCAUCUGCAUCGCAAUCUGUUGAAGAAACUAAAAGCUGUCGCAGAGACAAUACAACUAAAGGUACAAAAAAAGCGUAAUUUAUUGAGAUACGAAAUAUUGUAAAAAAAAAAACAAAAAAGGAUCUGUGUUCAAAUAAAAAACACGCAGCUUUUGAAUAAAAAAAAAAUGAAGUGCAACCUCAACAUUACAAGGCUAGAAAAUUACGACAAGAUAUAAUUAACAUUCCCAGCCAUGUUUUUGGUGAGCAUAAACGAUGUAAGGAACGCGGUCGCAAAUGCAAUGAUAAAAAGAAUUACGUACCGUAUCUGAAGCUGCACGGCCUCUAUCAAAGAAUAAAGCUAUUGCGUACAUAGCCGCUUACUCCAAAAGCUUGCUAAUAAAUGUAACAAUCCUGCAGUUUAUAAUUCGACAGUCGACAAAGAAAUAUGCAGAAAACGCAUAUUUGUAAGUUAACGAGGAUCUUGCAAUGCUAGAAUUACGGAAGCAGUUUUGCAAUACAAUACGCAGGAAGCGCUCACAGAAAUUCAUAAUGGCAUAAAUAAAAUUGUUCCUCCUACUGUCAAGAAACUGGAGAAGCAACGGCAAUUAAAAAUAGCGCGAAGCAGAGAAUCUCGACUGUUCCGUCAAAGAAAUACUUAAGGAAUUCGGGAGAAAUCCCGAUUCUUCAGGUAUAAUGUCUAUGUAGAUAUGUCGACUCUUUCCACAUAAAAGAGUUUAGAGCGGGGGAAUAGGACGAAACAGGCCUAUCCUUCGGUUUUCGUUAACUUACUUUUGUGUAACGCUUCGAAGAGUGAAGUAGUCGAGCCAGUGCGUAAUUUGUAUUACAAUCGAGUCAGUGCGAUACCGAAUCGCGUAAGUGUAAAGCAGCUCGCAACAACGGUUGUGAGACCGCACUUACAGCGGCGCAAACGUACGCGCCCGAUAUUAUUCGAAUGAUUCGGCAAUCGAAGUAUCUCCCUACGAGAUACACGCGUUAGACGUAACGCAGGUGGCCAUUACAUACAUACGUUAAACGUAACGCAAAUCUACCAGCGUCUCCCCAUCGAGAGCGAGACGCUUGCGUUAAUCGUAACGCAGGUAGCCAUCAUAUACGAAUUUAUCGCUUCAUAAUUUAUCCGAUCGAACAUUCUUCAUUGUAAUUUAUCGUAAGGGGUUUUUAUGCCUCCGGGCUUUUCCCCUCUGAGCCAAUAAAGAUCAUUCCCUUGUGCUCAAAUCGUGACAUAAUUAUUUUCCUCAACCACCAAACCAUAACCACGGAAGCUUCUCCAUGUUGGAGCCGUUUCCGACCAUACAUCGACAAAGAAAUGAAAGACAAAAGAAAUGUAAAGAAAAACAAGGAGCAGAUUGUUAUUAUGGCCCGCGAUCGCAACAGCCCAAUCUUCCAGAUAAUAUGUUCCAACAACUUCGGCAAAAUCAGAUAGAGAAGUUGCUGGAGAAUGCAAGAAACAAAAAGCAGAUUGAACAGGAUACAAUAAAGCAAAAUAAAUCCAAGUUAUGGAUGACACUUAGACGAGAAAUGUUGACAGCGUCCAAUUUUGGGAUUGUCUGUCGUAUGAGACCAACGACAAAUUGUGCAACAAUUGCAAAGAAUAUUUUUUAUCCUGCAACCAUUGAUACCAUAGAUAUAGUAUAUUUAGACUGAAAAUUAUCCCACAUUUCAGGAGUGGGGAUAAGGCUUACAUACAAUACAAGUAUUUCUUUCUCUGUCACACACGCCUACGUCCUUUUGUCUUUUUCUACGUAUGUCUAUACCCCAUUCCUGAAAUGAGCAGACCUGAUUGAUACUCAUCUUGACGCGUGAAGUUAGCGCUAGAGAUGAUCAUCUCUGGCUCGAGCCAACUUAAUACAGUUCUCUGUUAUAGGGGUUCACAUGCCUUCCGGAACGGAACGGGGUUCACUUCCUUUCCGGAACGGACGGAGUUCACUUUCUUUCCGGAAUGGAACGGGAUGCGGGACAGAUCAGCUCUCGAUCAAGUCUUCUUCACAAAUCAUCUAAUAGAUAAUUAUGACGCAUAUUCAUCUUGUACUGUGUUUCGUUCAAACGCGUAUUCCACGUAGCGUAAAUCGCGACGCGUGGAGCGGUCGUGCAAUUGUAACAUGCGACAAUAAUUCCGUGCCAAAGUCGAUCGCGCGGAAAAGGUUAAUUAUGAUAUAUAGUCGCGAUCAAGAAGAACUAGCGAAGAGUUAGCCUCAAAAUUAAAUAAAGGUAUAAAACAUUGCAGGUUAUUCAUUGAUAAUAAUAAACCAUGCUCGGGUGCUUCUCCUGACGGACAUAUAGACAAAGAUGAUCCGGUAGAGAUAAAAUGUCUUCUAUCGGCAGAACAUUUAAUAGCAGAACAAACCAUAGAGAAACUGAUUCCUCUGAAAAGAAUUUGACAAACACAACCCACCAGAUAGAAUCAAACACAUCGUUUUUUUAUGAAAUUCAGGGUCAAUUAAAUAUUACACAACGGAAACAUUGCAAUUUACUAUAUGGACAACAAAAAGCAUCAAAAUAGUCCAUGUAGAUGCAAACAAUACUUUUUGGAAAAAUGAAAUGCUGCCUUUUCUAACACGCUUCUAUAAUGAAUGCAUGCUUCCUGAAAUUGUGGAUAAUCGUUAUAAUAGACAUGCCAAUCAGAAAUCCAAAAUAUAUAAUAGAAACAAAAAAUUCAAUAGCUAAAAAAAUUAAUAUUCGAAAAAAUAAUCGGCAAAAAGCAGAAAGCAAAAAUAUAAAUAAAAAAAAACAUUUCCAUGACAUUUUGUCGACAGAAACAACUACUACUUCUGCCGUGAUUGCUGUAGAUGUGGAGCAAAAUGACGAUUGUAUCAUUGUUAAUUACACAAACAGCAAUCAAAAAAAUUGCAAAUAACGCGGCAAAGUAGAAAGUCCUAGAUGACAAUAUUCCUGACAUCUCCCUAGUGAAAAAAAAUAUCUUGCCUGUAAACGCGUUAUUUUUACGUUUCUUUUACGCGUCAUAAAAGAAAAUUCUGUUAUACAACUAAUUGAAGGGAAUUGUACCGAUUACUGACGAUGUUUAUUUUUUGAUGGUAGCAAUCUUCACGUGUACAGUUUACCUUGUACGUGUAGGUUGUACCUAAGACAGAACUGCUGAGAAAAAUUACGUACAACGUCGAUAUCCAAAAAUAAUUCAAAGAAAUAUAAUCUUUGAACAAAUAGAUACACAGAUGAGACAAGUUGUAGAAUUUACGCUGCAGCUUUUGCCUCAACUGUAGCUUUAGAAGGUAAUCCUUGUAAUAAAAAAUAUUCAAAAAACGUAAAGUGCAUGAGGCAACAUUUUAUACAAAUUGUAGAAAAUAAUAAAUUGCUUCCUUUCCCUACAAUACAAACAAUGUAAAGUAAUAUAUUACAUUUAAAAAAACUUCCAAAAAAUUUUUGAAAUAAAAAAUGCCUUGAGACAAAUUACAAGUGUCUUUUCGGCGGAAAUCGAUAAUAAUACAAACGUUCUGACGUUCUGAAAAAGAAACGUUCUGACGGUACUGACAUAAUAAAUGACAGAAGCGUCUAUUCUGAACGUACUAAACUUCAAAAAUACGUCAUAUUGCAUGAUAUGAUCUGAAAAUGUGAUUGCUGUCAAUGCUGCAUACAAUCUCUUCCCUACAAGUCAACACAGCCAUUUUGAAGAUGAAGAACCGAUAUAAAGCAUCGUAAAACUGUGGAACUUUGAAAACCAACACACAAAAUCAAUCAAACAUUAAGACUUCUAAUUAUUUAUGAACUAUAUCGGAGAAGCAAAAAUAAAUAAUCCAUGCUCACGCCGAGCACAGCUGAGCGCGCGACGGUUCACGGAUAAACGGAACGCGAUGUGUGGAGUGUGCUCAGGCUCGGAAUCGUUGCACGUUUUGUCUCCUACUUCUCCAUCACGUCGUCGUACAACGACUCCACCAACAGUAAUGUAAUGUGCGCUCAUGCACGUGAUUAUGACGUGUUUUCUGUGUUUGUACACUGUUGAGUCGCCUGAAUUAGUCAGGCUAGCACUGAACCAAAACAGCGUGUGGUAAGACGUUUCACGUUACAACAUGUCAGAUCGCACGUUUAAAUGCCUGAUGCAUCUAUAUAGAUAGUACUGGUAAGAUUAUCAAAACUAGAUGCGUUUAUUUAGACAGUACUGAUAAAAUUAUUAAUUUCUAAAGCGUCUAUUUAGACGGUACUGAUGAAAUUAUUAAUAUCUGAAACGUCUAUUUAGACGACACUAGUAAAAUUAAUAAUACCUGAAGCGUCUGUUUAGACAGCACUAGUAAAAUACCCAGAAAACCGUGUUAUUAGCUAUCCGCAGCGUAAACGCAAAGAGCACAUGUCAUGUGCUUGGGGUAUGGCAAACCCCUGUACCCGAGCCAAAUCAUUGAAUCAUUGAAUCAUUGACCAGCAACACAGCAAAAAUGGCUGAUCAGACACGAAGACCUGAAAUAGACAGAGGAGCAUCCUCCUCAUCUGCACAACCCUCCAGUGAGGUUGUUCCCAUGGAUACACUAGACAUUGAGUCAGUUUAUAGAGACGUAGUAAUACCAACAAGAGAACAUAUAGAGAAUCCCAUAUCUCCAAAGAGACCUCGCAGAACACCCCUCACACAGCCAGCAGGACCCAUUACAAGGUCAAGACAAGAAAGACAACUAGACACUAUUGAGCAGAAACUAGUGAUGUUGGAUGAAUACCUUGGAGAAAAACUUGAACCCAAAAUAAACAACAUGAGGAAAGGUAUGGAGAAUAUAAAGUCAGCAAUAGAGAAUCUCACAAAAACCAUUCAUGCCUUUGAAAGGAGAUUAGGGGUAGCAGAAACAAGAAUAUAUGGACUUCAAGAACAAAAGCGAGACAAGUCCAUGCAGAUUCAGCCGCCAAUCACAUGAGCUCACACUGAGACUCCCCAUGCAGAAGAACAAGGACUUGGAACAUCUGGAUGAAAAGAUUUCAAAAUGAAGAAUUUUUUAAUGAAAAGCAUUCAUUUUAUAUUAUAUAUCUUAUUUAAAAAAAACACAUCUGUAAUAUUCAACGGUUUGCGAAUCGAAAUGUAGAUUUUUUCUUGUCGUUAACUUAAUUUAUUUAAGGUAUUUAUAAUCUUAUUCAUUCUGAUUAAUGUAUUUGAUGAUUCAAGACAUACUUAUAUUUGUUCUUCCGCUUUUAAUUCACUUGAUAAGAGCCAGAAAUUGUCUGACCGAAACGUCGUGCAGUUUUUUGAAUUACAUCAAUAAAGAAUAUUGGUCAAAUUAGUCAUCUUAAGAUCAUUAUUGAAUCAUUGAAUCAUUGAAUCAUUAAAUAUGAACGUAAUGGAUGCUAAACAGUCGAUCAACCAAUCGCCUUUCUAUAGAGUUAUGCAAACUAUGCAUUAACUAUGUACAUAUAAAAUACCUGCGCAGGGAGUACACUCAUGUACUUAGGAUAUAGCGAAUCCGCACCCAAGCCGUAUAGGGGUAAACGAAGUUUUUCGUAUGUCAAAGAAAGUGCCCGUUUUAUAGUUUCGAGUGAUACGGCUCCGGUGCCAAUCGGGGAUCUCCCUACCGUUGAAUGGCUAACGUUAUACCGGGAGGAGGUCCUUUAGACGGUGUAGAGAUAAGACAUGAGAGUGAGUUUUAGUAGGUAGGUCAUGUGGGUGGUAUUUUUUGUGGCAAUGCACCCGCAUGGAAUUCCACACUAUCCGGGUGUACGGGCACCCGGAUGUCUUGAUCCCUCUGGAGGGAUAACUCUUGAGGUUGUCCCCUUCAUGGGGAUUUUUAUGAAGAUUUCUCACUUCCAGCACAAAACAAAAAAAAGUUAUCCGCAGCAUCCUGCACGAGUGCUCCAUCUGCAUUCGUAUCUUUGAGGAAUUCCUGCAUUAUGUCAAACAAAAACAACAUUCCCUCAGAUUUCGACGAAGCCAGGAAAUUAUCCAGUUUGCCAGAUUAUAUAGCUUUGAAAUAUACAGAUAUAUUGAAGAGCGUCCAAUCAAAGAUUGUUCGUCAUGGACAAUUAAUGAAUUUUGAUGACACCCAGAAAAAUUCAAGUAAUUCUAGUAAAUCUAGUAAUACUAAUGACGAUAUACAAGAAAGUAUUGAUUUUAUAUAUGUAAUAUAUAAUUUAUUUAUUUAUUUUAUCAUAGCUUCUUAACUAAUUUUCCUUUUUAUUUAUUUCAAUUAGUUUGAUUAAUAACUUACACUAGAGACCGACCGAAGCUGAAUUUUUCGGCCGAAGCCGAAGGCCGAAGGUAUAUGAAAUUAAUAAAAUUGAAAAGAAAAGUAACAGAAAAUAAGAGUUUUUAAUAUUAAAUAAAUUCAUUAUUACCCACUUUAGUAAACUAUUAUGUGUAUUUUUUUAAAUUUCAUUACUGUUUUAUAGUUUCGGUUUUCGGCUUUGGUCGGUUUCUAAUUUAAUUUCUAUAAUGUAUGUCACGAUUAUUUUGUAGAUACAAAUACGCUUUUUGUACCAUUAGAAAAACUCGUUAAUCCGGAAAUCGACAAUAUAAAAGCUUGGUUGAAAUACUCUGACAUUGAUAAUAAUUUGGAGGAAAUUAUUUAACGGUGGGAAGAUACUAAACAAUACAGGUCAAAAGAAUGCAAGAUAAAAAAAUUCUCUGAAAUAAUAGUGGAAUGACCCUUAUUAAAACACGCUAAAUGCGAUGUGUAGGUAAGACGAAUUAAUUAUAAUAAUGAAAAUUUAUGCUUGCUUGUUUGUUAGUGUCCUAUAAAUAUUUCUAGCUUUUUUGAUGAUAGAAUUUUUCUAUUUCGAUUUUGAUUAUCUUCGAAAUAAAAAACAUUCCUAAAAUUAACUUGGUUCUUAACUACCUUUAACUCCCUCUAUGAGUAUACAUUUAAAAUAGAUGUUUUUACACAAAUUCAUAUAUUUUCAUAGAAAUAUGUACAUUUCAAGAGAAAUUAAUAAUUUUUCAGAUUAAAAGUCUAAAUUAAACUAACUUUUUCUAAAUGUUCCAUUUUUAGGAUUAUUUUUAAAGUUUCAGAAAAAAUCGAAAUAUGUCAACAUUCUGAAUCUGAUAGUGGACUUAAAUUAAGAUAAUAAUUUUUAGAGUAUUGAACUGUAUUGAACUGUAUUGAAUUGCUACAGUAUUGAACUGGAGUAUCGAAAUAACUUGUAUUAAUUUUUUAAUUGUUUCAGAUUGACAUUGAUUUCAAAUAUUUAUUUCCGGAAUAAGAAGAAAAUAAUUUAUUUCUUUUCUGGUCAAAAUUUACAGACAAGGCGACAAAUCUUUUUACAUUUUUUAUAAAAGAUAAAUUCGGAAAAGUCGAUUUACAGAAGCUGUUACACACUGAAAACAAAAAGAAUCAGUCAUGUCCAAGAUCACUACGAGUGCUGCUGACUUCAUCGAGUGUUUCAGAAUGCUUACAAGGAAAUGUGGCAUAAGAGCUGAGGAGACUGGAGAAAGAAAAACAGCUCUAGGACCAUUCCACCUAGAACUACACAUAGCAGCCUGUUUCUGCGAGUUAACAAUAUGUUUCAUCAUGGAUUAGGCAAAAUAAUAAUAAAUACUGCUGAAUUUGAAGAGAAAUUUCCAACAGCAAUGUUCUCACCAAUGUUCCCUUGUGAGACAUGGUUACAGAACAAACAAUAUCAUGAUUAACAUACACCAUAAUUAGUUAGUCUGUUAGUAUAAUAGCAAUUCUGAUAGACAAUGUCUUACAUGAGACAAAUCAACCCCACUAGAUGAGAUCUAAACUUAUUAUUUAGUUUCCCACAACUCAUCAGUUUUGAACUCAACCUAGGAUCACUCAAUAUAAUGAAUAUAUUACAGUAAAUGGUCAAUUUUCUCUUAAUAUUUUGGGCAUGAAGGAUCACUACCUAACUAAAAUAAGAAAACCAAGACCCCAUAAACGCAUAAAUUACUUUAUCAGGGAGAUGACUACAUUGGCUUAAUUUUUAUUCAGUUUGAAUUUAACUAUUGUGUUCUAUGUUAAUCUGUUUAGUUUUAGCUUAUUAUUAUCUAUAUUAUUCCUAUUAGCUUUUAACUUCUCGUUUCAUUAAAUUAGUAUUAAGAUUUUUAUACAAUCUAUAUAAGAUUCUAUAUCAAAUUCCACAAACCUCUACUUUGCAAGAUACUAUUUUAAUAAAUAAGAAAAGGCUCGAAGUUCUUAACAAAAAAGUUCCUAACAAAGAAAUUUCCAACAUUACUAAUGAUAUGAAUAAAUAUUAAUUAAGAUUAACAAAGUCGAGACAUUAAAUAUUUUAACAGAGAUAUUAAGUUAGAUAUCUAUCAGCGUUACACUGACAGCGUAUGUAUAUAAUUUUUUUCAAAAUAAAAACAAAAGAGUUAACAUUUCAAGAUGACGAACAAGUCUUGUUAAAUAAUCCUGAUACAGUUAUUUAACAGAAUCAACUUCAGCAGUUGAAGCUGAUUCUGAAUCAGUAAAUCUGCAAGUUUCUAAAAA